UACGAAGGGGGCGAGCGUUGUUCGGAUUUACUGGGCGUAAAGGGCGCGUAGGCGGCGCGAGAAGUCGAGUGUGAAAGCCCCGGGCUCAACCUGGGAACCGCGCUUGAGACUGGAGAACUAGAGUUCGGGAGAGGAUGGUGGAAUUCCCAGUGUAGAGGUGAAAUUCGUAGAUAUUGGGAAGAACACCGAUGGCGAAGGCAGCCAUCUGGACCGACACUGACGCUGAGGCGCGAAAGCGUGGGGAGCAAACAGG
rnacentral:rRNA from 1 species